ACGCACGCUGGCGGCGUGCUUAACACAUGCAGGUCGAACGGAAAGGCCCUGCUUUUGUGGGGUGCUCGAGUGGCGAACGGGUGAGUAACACGUGAGUAACCUGCCCUUGACUUUGGGAUAACUUCAGGAAACUGGGGCUAAUACCGGAUAGGAGCUCCUGCUGCAUGGUGGGGGUUGGAAAGUUUCGGCGGUUGGGGAUGGACUCGCGGCUUAUCAGCUUGUUGGUGGGGUAGUGGCUUACCAAGGCUUUGACGGGUAGCCGGCCUGAGAGGGUGACCGGCCACAUUGGGACUGAGAUACGGCCCAGACUCCUACAGGAGGCAGCAGUGGGGAAUAUUGCACAAUGGGCGGAAGCCUGAUGCAGCAACGCCGCGUGCGGGAUGACGGCCUUCGGGUUGUAAACCGCUUUCGCCUGUGACGAAGCGUGAGUGACGGUAAUGGGUAAAGAAGCACCGGCUAACUACGUG
rnacentral:rRNA from 1 species